CCAUCUGGACCUGCAGCUUUAUUGGAAUUCAUGGCCUUCAAUACAGCUCCCACUUGGUGUUCAUGCAAGGUGAAUGGCUGGGAGUUGGAGGGCUGGUGGGCUGG